rnacentral:lncRNA from 1 species
UAAUAAAUUCAUGAAACAGAAAAAGCACACAGUCCUAAAUAAGUGAUAAGCGAGAGAUGUAUGCAAAGAACAAUUAAAGAGUGUGUGUAAGAUAACACCGAUCUAUAUAUUAGUAAUAACAGGUUUAAAGCUUUGCUACCUAACAUUUCGAGUAGAUUGUGUUGUCUUUACUAAGGAUGAGUUUAAAUUGGAAGAUAUUUAACUGUAUUACCAUUCUUUGUUUCCUUUUUU